rnacentral:rRNA from 1 species
UGAGGAAUAUUGGUCAAUGGGCGAGAGCCUGAACCAGCCAAGUAGCGUGCAGGAUGACGGGCCUAUGGGUUGUAAACUGCUUUUAUGUGGGGAUAAAGUGCGUGACGUGUCAUGCAUUGCAGGUACCACAUGAAUAAGGACCGGCUAAUUCCGUGCCAGCAGCCGCGGUAAUACGGAAGGUCCGGGCGUUAUCCGGAUUUAUUGGGUUUAAAGGGAGCGUAGGCUGUCUAUUAAGCGUGUUGUGAAAUAUACCGGCUCAACCGGUGGCUUGCAGCGCGAACUGGUCGACUUGAGUAUGCAGGAAGUAGGCGGAAUUCAUGGUGUAGCGGUGAAAUGCUUAGAUAUCAUGACGAACUCCGAUUGCGCAGGCAGCUUACUGUAGCAUAACUGACGCUGAUGCUCGAAAGUGCGGGUAUCAAACAGG